rnacentral:lncRNA from 1 species
CGCGUCCCCGGGGCCCGCCUCUCACGCCCGCGUCGGCCGCCAGCGACCAGCUCUGGCUGCUCCUGCGGAUCUCCUCCACCGACCACGGCCGCUCCCACACGGGCUCCGACGCCGGCACCAGCUCCUGGUCGGGGGUCGUCCGGUUCAUCUGCAGCGAAAAAAACGAGAAGAGAGGCUGAGCCUGAGGGCGGCAGGGACGGCGGCCCCAGCCCAGGCCGGCCCCUCUCCGGCCCGCCGCCCUCACCAUCCCAGCCGCCCGGCUCGGUGGG